UUGAUUAGCAGCUGGUGGUACCUGAUUACAGUGGCAGCACCUGGGCCGACUCGGGCAGCCAAUCAGCGUCCGCCCUGCGCACUGAUAUAGUUUGGGCAGCUCGCGGCGCGAGCGCAUAGGAAACGAACCGAGACACGAGAAGACACGAGUCGAGACGAGUAGACACGAAGAUACAAGAAGAUACGAGAAGACACGAGUCCAGUUCACGGUUCAACACGUUGAACGUUGUGAACCUCGUUAAUGCACAAGUUGUCAAGUUACAACGAACUGUGGAGACGAUUUGUGUCGAGUGAACCACGUGGGUCCUGAAGAAGAGGAGACUCGAACCUUCACUGUGAAGACUGAAGGAGAAGUGAAUGUUGAACUGUGUGGAAGAAGAUGAUCAGACAGACACGGACUCAGUGAUGUUGACCUGCCUGGCCCUUCACCGGGGCCCUUCACCGGGGCCCUUCACCUGGGUUCAUAUCAAGCAGGAUGAUUUGCUCCUGAACGUUGAGGAAGAGAGGAUCUGGACAAAGGGGCGGAGCCAGGGAUGUUUCAUUUCUUUCUUUAACAUUUUUUAACAUGAUGAUUCAGAGAAUAAUUCAUGGAUUUUGAUGAAUGAGACCAAACAAUGUAACAUAGUUUGUAAAGAUAUGAAUGAUGAUUACCACCGUUAAUAUCCUGACAUCCAGUGUGUUGUAUGGAAAGUAGCUUCUUAGGAAAAUAUCAUUCUUUAUAU